GUUGUCCUCAGCAUGUUCAGACCAGAGCUUAGGCAACUCGGUCCUUGGGUUCUUCCAGGAGAGUCGAAUUGGACAGAGAAAACUGUGGAUUAUGGACCAUUAGGGGCCCGAAGACCUUGAGAAAGUCUUGAAAGGAAGUUUCUAAAUUAAAGCAUCAAAUUUACUAAGAAAGUUGGGUUUUCUUUGGGGGUGUAAUGGAUGCCCAUGCUUGUGUGUUUUACAGUACCCUAGGAAUGAAAUGUUUAUCAAAUUUUAAUUCUGAGGAGAAAAAUUAAGGUAUUGGGCACUACCAUAGGCAAAUGUUUUUUAUGCAAGAGUCACUUAAACAAGAUCAUUUGAAGUAAGGUCAUUUGUUUUAAAUUCUUGAAAAAAAAAAAAAACUACCUCAAAUACAGUAGGGAGAUAUAGUACUCAAGGAUUCUAAUUUUGAACCUGGCCUUCCAUGUUGUUAUAUGUGUGUUUGCUAUCAAUUAGGUGUGACAAGGGAGGAGAAUAAAACUUUUUUAUCCAACAGGUGGUUAGCUUGACUUAUACUCUUACGUAUUUAGACAUGUGGCGUGUCUUUUUGUAUUCUUGCCCUAGGCUGUAAAGUUGUGAUAAGCAGGCCUGCUGCUACUAGCCCAUUUUCCUCAGUUCCUAAUCUGAACCCAGUAUGGCCAAACAGAACAAAACAAGAAUGUGGAGACAGCAGCAGGGUCCUCAAGGUUAACACACACGAAAGAGCAAUGCUGUUAGAGGAGCAGAGAAACUUGGGAAAACUCUGCGGUAUGAAAUAAAAGCAAGGCACUCUCCAUUAACAGCUGGUGGAUUCCUGAUUUCUGCCCACAGGACGAUGUUCACACUGAGAGAGCUCUCCCACAAGGGGAAGAAUCACCUGCUUUAAUACUAGUCCUCUCUGAGCUAGUGUAGUCACCCACUCUGUAUAAAUUUGUGUGUCAACAUUAAGACAAAAAUAAGAGAGUUGAAUUGAUAGAUAAUUUGGGAGGCUCUCAUAGUUGUAAUAACUAUGGAAGACAGAAGAAUACUGGCUAUAAUCUUUUUUUCAGCACUAGUGUCUGGACCUAUAACUAAAUAAGCUUUUUCAUUCCUUCCAACCAAAAGAUUCAACAGCUAAAAAGUCAUUUCCUUAAAUCUGAUAAGUGUAAAAAAGAAAAAGUAACAGCAUUUCUCUAGGGCUCUGGGGUUUUCUGUUUUGUUUUGAUUUGCUUUUCCUUUAGAGACAUGACAAAAACAAGGAUUAACUUUCUAAAUACUAAUGGUGCACAAGAAGGUUAUGUAUGCACAGUAUUUCUAAUUUAUUCAAAUUCAAUUUGAAUUUGGUCUGAAGCUAUCUUGUAUGAAAUGUUAGCUUUCCUGAUAUUUAAUAAUGUUUAUUAUGUUUGCAUAUAAGCUCAGAAAAUUAAUGCAAAAGUAUUACUUUGCUCAUGGUUACCUUUAGGUAAAAUGUAAAUAUUAGUGGUUAUGUUU
rnacentral:lncRNA from 1 species